rnacentral:hammerhead_ribozyme from 1 species
AUCUAGCUGACGGGUACCAAAUAGGACGAAACGAGCGUCAAAAUGGAU